GAUGAACGCUGGCGGCGUGCCUAAUACAUGCAAGUCGAGCGAACAGACGAGGAGCUUGCUCCUCUGACGUUAGCGGCGGACGGGUGAGUAACACGUGGAUAACCUACCUAUAAGACUGGGAUAACUUCGGGAAACCGGAGCUAAUACCGGAUAAUAUAUUGAACCGCAUGGUUCAAUAGUGAAAGACGGUUUUGCUGUCACUUAUAGAUGGAUCCGCGCCGCAUUAGCUAGUUGGUAAGGUAACGGCUUACCAAGGCAACUAUGCGUAGCCGACCUGAGAGGGUGAUCGGCCACACUGGAACUGGGACACGGUCCAGACUACUACGGGAGGCAGCAGUAGGGAAUCUGCCGCAAUGGGCGAAAGCCUGACGGAGCAACGCCGCGUGAGUGAUGAAGGUCUUCGGAUCGUAAAACUCUGUUAUUAGGGAAGAACAAAUGUGUAAGUAACUAUGCACGUCUUGACGGUACCUAAUCAGAAAGCCACGGCUAACUACGUG
rnacentral:rRNA from 1 species